rnacentral:rRNA from 1 species
AGGGUCAGCGAUUGGGGUGAAGUCGUAACAAGGUAGCCGUAGGAGAACCUGCGGCUGGAUCACCUCCUUUCUAUGGAG